UUCCUUCUGAAGGAAUAAAAGAGAACUCAUUGCAGAAUGGUAUAUUCUUGCAGGUCCUACAAGCAGCAAUCAAGGCUCUUGAUGAUAAGAAAAGGGCUGUUCGCCAAGAGGCUGUUCGAUGUCGACAAACAUGGCAAUCAUCAUUUGCUUAAGGUAGUCUUUCUCCCGCCACUGCAUCAUAGUUUGGAAUUAGUCACUGAACAGAUCAUGUUAGAGCUUGAUAAGUAUUGAGAUGUGUGAUAGGUUGUGGUAGCCCGUAGGGUGGUAGAGGACAAUGCGGCUCAUUCUGCCUUUGAAAUGCUUUUGGACUGUGUAAGUUCUGGCGGGAGGUGAGUUCUUAGGAGGAAAUUUGGCGAACCACAGUUGGAUGGUGUAUGUCAGUGCAUUGGGUUCAAUCUGGCUGACCGCUCUUCCGUCCCCUUUUCCUUGU